UACCAGCAGCCCCGAGUGGUCGGGACGUUUAUUGGGCCUAAAGGCAUCCGUAGCCGGUUCUACAAGUCUUCCGUUAAAUCCAGCCUGCUUAACAGAGUGGGCUGCGGAAGAUACUAUGGAGCUAGGAGGCGGGAGAGGCAAGCGGUACUCGAUGGGUAGGGGUAAAAUCCGUUGAUCCAUUGAAGACCAUCAGUGGCGAAGGCGGCUUGCCAGAACGCGCUCGACGGUGAGGGAUGAAAGCUGGGGGAGCAAACCGG
rnacentral:rRNA from 1 species